rnacentral:rRNA from 1 species
GAUGAACGCUGGCGGCGUGCCUAAUACAUGCAAGUCGAGCGAACGGACGAGAAGCUUGCUUCUCUGAUGUUAGCGGCGGACGGGUGAGUAACACGUGGAUAACCUACCUAUAAGACUGGGAUAACUUCGGGAAACCGGAGCUAAUACCGGCUAAUAUUUUGAACCGCAUGGUUCAAAAGUGAAAGACGGUCUUGCUGUCACUUAUAGAUGAAUCCGCGCUGCAUUAGCUAGUUGGUAAGGUAACGGCUUACCAAGGCAACGAUGCAUAGCCGACCUGAGAGGGUGAUCGGCCACACUGGAACUGAGACACGGUCCAGACUCCUACGGGAGGCAGCAGUAGGGAAUCUUCCGCAAUGGGCGAAAGCCUGACGGAGCAACGCCGCGUGAGUGAUGAAGGUCUUCGGAUCGUAAAACUCUGUUAUUAGGGAAGAACAUAUGUGUAAGUAACUGUGCACAUCUUGACGGUACCUAAUCAGUAAGCCACGGCUAACUACGUG